rnacentral:rRNA from 1 species
UACAGAGGGUGCUAGCGUUAAUCGGAAUUACUGGGCGUAAAGGGUGUGUAGGUGGUUAUAUAAGUUAGAUGUGAAAUCCCUGGGCUCAACCUGGGAACUGCGUUUAAGACUGUGUAACUAGAGUACUGUAGAGGAUAGUGGAAUUUCCAGUGUAGCGGUGAAAUGCGUAGAUAUUGGAAGGAACACCGGUGGCGAAAGCGGCGCGCUGGACCUCUUCUGACGCUGAGGCGCGAAAGCCAGGGGAGCAAACGGG